rnacentral:rRNA from 1 species
AUUGAACGCUGGCGGAAUGCUUUACACAUGCAAGUCGAACGGUAGAGGGGGCAACCCCUCGAGAGUGGCGAACGGGUGAGUAAUAUAUCGGAACGUGCCCAGUCGGUGGGGAUAACGUAGCGAAAGUUACGCUAAUACCGCAUACGAUCUAAGGAUGAAAGCGGGGGACCGUAAGGCCUCGCGCGAUUGGAGCGGCCGAUAUCUGAUUAGCUUGUUGGUGGGGUAAAAGCCCACCAAGGCGACGAUCAGUAGCUGGUCUGAGAGGACGAUCAGCCACACUGGGACUGAGACACGGCCCAGACUCCUACGGGAGGCAGCAGGUGGGGAAUUUUGGACAAUGGGGGCAACCCUGAUCCAGCAAUGCCGCGUGAGUGAAGAAGGCCUUCGGGUUGUAAAGCUCUUUUGUCAGGGAAGAAACAGCAGCUCUAACACAGUCUGCGAAUGACGGUACCUGAAGAAUAAGCACCGGCUAACUACGUG